AGAGGCCGGUCAGGCGGGGCGGGGCGGGGCUGGGCGGUGGCGGCGCCCCCUUGGUGGGGCCGCAAAGCCCAGAGGCAGCAGCUGCCACCGGCCGGAAGCCCGCUGGCUCUGCCGAGAACAAUGGCCGCCUGUCACUGUGGACAGCUGUCUCCCAGGCUAAGGCAAGGCUGCGCUCCCAGGGAAUGCGGGCAGGGAGCCAGGGCGGAGGCAGGCGACGACAGCAAGGAGGAGAGCGCCAGCACCGACUGAUGCUGGCCGCCUCGGGUAUUUGCCUUCUCUCUCUUCUCCCACCUUGUUCCUUGCUUUUCCCUGGAUGCACGCAUGCACUAGUAAUGAAGAAUUUACAUUAAUGCAGAAACAACAGGGUAAGGAAAGGAAAUGGCAGACAGGAAAUGGCAAGGAAGGGAAAAUCCACUGCGACUCUGCUGCCUGCUGGCCUGUCCAGGGACAAGUUUUCAGCUGGGUGGGGCGUUGCUACCCCCUUGUGGCACCCCUGCUGCAGCCUGCGAUUCUCACUCCCUGCAUUUCUGGUCCAACAUCAACCAACACUUUGGCGAAAUAUAAUAAAAAGAAAUUACUAGAAUGAAAGAAAGUCACGUGAAAUAAAAGUCCUGCUUUUUAAUGAUUAGAUCCUCUGUGAAAUGGCUCUGCAGCCCUCUCCAUUUCUGGGUUCCCCUGGCCACACCGUGCUUAUGGCUGUCCCAGGAGCAGGCUGACAGACAAGUUUCCACCAGCAUCUAACCGUGGGGCUCAUGGACACCGUAGAGCUUCUCCACCCAACAGAAUCCUGACUUGGGGCAGCUGAGGCAGGGGGCCUGAGUGUUGAGGGGACCACGCUGCUGUCCCCCAAGACCUGUUGGCAUGCCACCCGGCUGACCCUGACUUCGCCUGCCUGGGCGCAUGUUAACCGAGUUACAAUACUGAGGGCACUUGAACCUGGCUGCGUGACCAGAGAUCGCCUGUGAGAUCCUCUGUGAAACGGGACAAGCAUCUUUAAUUUCCUGGGCUGCUCUGGAACUUCAGUUAGACAGGACACAGGAAGGUGUCUGCACCACCCACCCCUGCCUCGUGGGUUGACUGGGAACCACGUGUCUUGUGGAGGGCUGUGACCUCCACCUUCCACCUCGCUGGGGCCCCAAGCCUUCUCUGCUCCUUGGUUCUGCUGCUGUUGUGAGCAAGGGCCCCAGCACCCUUAGGGACCCCAAUCAAUGGGCUCCCCACAAUGUCCUCACCCUUUGUCUGUUGCCUGCUAAGCAACCCUGGGGCCACCUAAGAAGAAAGAGAACUCACAGGUCACAGGGGCCUUUUCCUCUUCGUGGUCAUCCUCCUCCUCCUCUUCUUCCUCCCUAGGCAACUUCCUGAAUUCGGAAAGGUGGGAUUUCGCUAUGUUGUCCAGGCUGGUCUUGAACUCCUGCCCUCAAGUGAUCCUCCCAUCUCAGCCUCCCAAAGUCCUAGGAUAAUGGCAUGAGCCACCGUGCCUGGCCGCCUUUGGUCUGUUUGAAUAGGGACAUGGCAUGAUCAGAUGAGGCUUUUAUGCCUCUCUGACCCUGGUGUGGAGGGUGGGCUGGCAGGGAGGGGAUGACUGUCUAGAGGAGAGAGUCCAAGACCUAGGCUGGGCAGGGCCGUGGAGACAAACAGGAGCGGACAGAGUCCGGCAGUAUAGAUGGAAGGGCAGGGACAGUGUUGAAGUUUCUGUUCUGAGCAACUAGGAGGCUCGUGGUGCAGUUAAUUACCCUGAUGGGGAUGGAACAGGAUCAGGCAGGGGAUGGGCAAUGGGCUCUGUUUCCACAGCGGUCAAGAGGCCUGAGGGCCUGCAAGAACAUGGUCUAGGCCGGAGAUGGAGCUUCAGAAUGAAUGAGGAUAGGGGGCUGAGUCCAACAGGGCCAGAGUAUGGCUAGCAAAGUGGGGAUGACCCCAAGGGUGGCCUUCUGGGUGCCACGAAGGAAACGUUUUAAGAAGUGAGACUGGGUCACUGCUUUCAAUGUCAGAGAACAGAGCUGAGCAGUCGAGGAGGUGUAGUGGGUAGAAAGGGAGGUCGCAGCAAGCUGAAAGCAAACCGACGGGAGGAAAUGUUAACCUUGGGUUAGCGUCUUUCAGCAGGUAGGCAGGGCAAAAGACAGCUACGGGGCAGAUCAGGGGAAGAAAUUUGGAGGUAGGGACACUGAAGCCAGCUGUGGCUGAGGAGGGCUGUGGGAAGAAGUGUCUAAAAUUCUGAGCCAUCCCUGGCUCUUCUGGGCAGAAGGGGUCACUCCCUCAGUGGCCCUAUGGCCUCUAGCAUGCAUUUUGACCCCUGGAAUCUGCCUUCCCACCUAGUGGGGGCCCUGGAAGUUGGAUGACACACAUUCACCCCUGUGUGCCUGUCCCUGAGAGUGGGGGCUGGGGGGCAUGCCUGGGGUGACGAGGUAAUUCUGCACUGGGCUGACACUCCCGGCUUUCACUGGAAGGCGAGGACCUUCUAAUGGCACAGGCUGGCAGGUCUUGUUCCAUGGGGGCUGCACACCCCAGGCAUCUACUGAUGGUCUGAGGAAUCGACCGGGAUGGAUUCCUGAUUUUUUUUUUUUUUUUUGAGACAGAGUUUCGCUCUUGUUGCCCAGGCUGGAGUGCAAUGGCGUGAUCUUGGCUCACCACAACCUCUGUCUCUCGGGUUCAGAAAGUGAUUCUCCUGCCUCAGCCUCCCGAGUAGCUGGGAUUACAGGCGUAAGCCACCAUGCUCAGCGGAUUCCUGAUUUUUUAAAAUGAAAGGGUGACUCAUGGGAGAAGCCUCUGGAACUGCCUUUGAAGAACAACCAGCCAAGACAUGAGAAAUGAGUUCCUCUGCCAUUUGGGGGUUUCCUGCCAACUGCUGGGUUUUCCUUUUGCACAGCAGAGAGGAGGGACGCCUGUUCCCCUUGGUCCCGGUGAGGCCAGGCCUUAGCUUCCUGCCCACCCGCCACUGCUGCUGGGGGCAGGGAGGCAACUUCCGGCUGUGGGGACCCAGACAAUGCCUGGCCAAGGGCCACCAUUGUCCCCUUCCUGGACACAGCUCCUGCCUCAUCCCAGGGUCUGGCCUGGGACACGCCCUAGAGGCCCUCAGCCCUGAGUCACUGCACCAUGCAGAUCCACCCUGAUUCUGGUCCCUGCAGAGCAGGCUCCUGCACAAGGCAAGAAGAUGCUCCAGGGACAAGCCAAGUUGUGUGCAAGAAACACUUGUCUCACCGACUUUGGGGCAGGGGCUGUUACAAGGGGUUUAUAAUCUAGUGGCAGAGAUGAAAACCACACUCAAAUCAUUAGUGUAUGGUAUGCACUGCUCAGGGACUCAAGUAUGUGACAGGAGGCUACAAACAAGAGGGGAGACAAGGAUAAACAGCCCCCUGCAGACCAGGUGUUGUGACUCCUGGAUAGCCUCCAGAAGGAUGCCUUUUGCAAUCUGUGAAAGAGCUCAGGGACCAAGAUGCUCAAAGCCCUUCAUGCCCAAGAGCCCAUCCUCAGGCUGGGACACAAGAAGCAGAGCUGGGAGGUGGAACUCGUGACUAUGUAUGAGCACAUGUGAGUGCGUAUGUGUGAACAGCUGGACUUAGUGUACACAACAUGUGAGACUGAGACCCCAAGUGCUGACUACACAUAUGCACAUCCACACCUGCGUGUGAAAGAACGUGCUAGAAAAGAACAAAACUAACUUAAAAAAUAAAUCCAAUACGAUGGCUGGAACAAAUAACACCUUCAAA